AUUGAACGCUGGCGGCAGGCCUAACACAUGCAAGUCGAACGGUAACAGGAAGCAGCUUGCUGCUUCGCUGGCGAGUGGCGGACGGGUGAGUAGUGUCUGGGAAGCUGCCUGCUGGAGGGGGAUAACUACUGGAAACGGUAGCUAAUACCGCAUAAUGUCGCAAGACCAAAGGGGGGGACAUUCGGGCCUCUGGCCAUCGGGUGCGCCCAGGUGGGCUUGGCUUGGUGGUGGGGUAAGGGCUCACCAAGGCGACGAACCCUAGCGGGUCUGAGGGGAUGAGCAGCCACCUUGGGACUGAGACACGGUCAAGACUCCUACGGGAGGCAGCAGUGGGGAAUAUUGCACAAUGGGCGCAAGCCUGAUGCAGCCAUGCCGCGUGUAUGAAGAAGGCCUUCGGGUUGUAAAGUACUUUCAGCGGGGAGGAAGGGAGUAAAGUUAAUACCUUUGCUCAUUGACGUUACCCGCAGAAGAAGCACCGGCUAACUACGUG
rnacentral:rRNA from 1 species